ACGGUGCGCCCCCUCCCUUCCCGUAUCAUGGUUCCUUUUGGACUUCACCACAUCAAAAAAUCAACACAAGAUGUCAAAACGGCCAAAACUGUCAGGUGCCCAGGGAAGAAAAAAGAGAAAAGAAGAGGAGGAGAAACGAGAAAAAGACAGAGAUGCACUGUUGAAGUUUCUAAAUCCCACCCCUGGGCCAUCUACCACAUCUACCGCUGCUGCCUCCACUUCAGCAGCACAACCCACCAGUGAUGCAGCAUCAGCAGCACAACCCAGCCAUGAUGCAGCAGCAUCAAGCGGUGUUCCUGUUGCCUCCACCUCAGCAGCACAACCCAGCAGUGAUGCAGCAGCAUCAAGCGGUCUUCCUUUAUGUAUGUAAAAUUUAUUGUAUUUCAUAUAUUCAUUUUUUAUUUUUUGUAUUCAUUUAUUUAUUCAUAUAUUUUUUUAUCUUGUUAAUUAUUCUGAUUGUGAAUUUGCUUUCUUUAAGUAAAAAAAAAAGGUCAAAGACAAA